rnacentral:rRNA from 1 species
AUACGGAGGGGACAAGCGUUAUUCGGAAUCACUGGGCGUAAAGGACGCGUAGGCGGGUUAUUAAGUCGGGUGUGAAAUCCAAUGGCUCAACCAUUGAACUGCAUUCGAAACUGAUAACCUAGAGUAUGGAAGGGGCAGGUGGAAUUAGUGGUGUAGGGGUAAAAUCCGUAGAUAUCACUAGGAAUACCGAAAGCGAAGGCGACCUGCUGGGACAUUUCUGACGCUGAGGCGUGAAAGCGUGGGGAGCAAACAGGAUUAGAAACCCGAGUAGUCC